GUCCUCGAACUCGAAUCGUAACGGUCGUUGGCAUUCAUCUUUUUUUUUCUUUUCUUUUUUCCAUUGAUUAUAUUUUCCAAAGAGGAAAAUAUUACAUUCAAAGACAGUUUUCAAGUUUCUAUUACAAUAUAGAGCAGUUUAUGCUACUAAGUUAGUUCUUGCUAACCAAACUCACUUUCCACCUAAAAAGCUAACUAAAUGAAUUUGUAGUUAAAGAUAAUAUAGUUAUUAUAUUUAAUAUAUUCUUUUCUUUUUCUGACGGGAUUUGACCACAACCACAAUAAAGUGGGUCCAUGUACUACUCAGCAUAGUCUUCUCCCUCCUAAACUUUGCAUCUUCUUUAUAAAAUAAAAUUUGUUGUUUCAGUUUAUUUUCCAAAAUAAUUAUAUUUAUUUAUUAUUUGUAUUAUUUU
rnacentral:lncRNA from 1 species